UUCAUGCUCGCCGUAGUUCGUCGUUUGUUUUUUGAUGCGGUUGUCGCAAUCUGUUUCAUCCACCAUCAUCUGUAACGUUUUUCCACAUGGAGACUGUUGAGUGUCUUAUCAUUUGGAACGAGCACAAGAACGUGAUGCACAUUGGAGCGAACAGGAAUAAGAACGAUGUUAGAAGCGCCUUUCUGACGUCUGAGCUAGGAAGAUGUGUUCCGCAAGGCUCAUCGUUAGUCAUUCAGGUAUGUAUACGCCAAUUAGACCCACUGAUUACUUUGCUGCAUGACGCUUUAGAGCGAAAAAUGUAAAAAAAGUGUUAAUUUAGACAACAAACGACGUGGAUUCUCGUCAUUGCAGUAGGCAAUGCAAGCGUUUAGUUUUAGCAGUGUUACCGUGCGUUGUGUCAACCUUCCUAGUGAUUUCUGGUGAAGCUAACUCAUGGUUUAAGCUUUGCAAGCGAGUAUAUGAGUUGUGGCAGACGUUUGCCUGUUGCGGAUGCUUGUGAUAGGAUAGAAUAGAAACACAUAACAUGAACCAGUUGUGCUUCUUACAGCUAUACAGCAAGAAAUUUUCUGAGUUCGUCGACAUGGAAGACCUUGACCGAGUAGAGAAUUUAGACAAGAUUAAUAUCGUUGUCAAGGCACGCGUGCAACAAGAAACAGAAUAUGCCGACGAAGCACUUCAUGUUGUCACGUGAGCAUGUAGGAUACUACGACACUGACAAUGGUUGAAAGAAAAACCAGCUCGCCACUUGUAAUAGUGCAAGAGAAUACGCAUGCGAUCUAGCCUAGCUACCGUUGCAAAUUAUGUGAUGUUGGCGAUUUUUAUGGUGAAACUGUUUUGUCUCUGAUAUUUUGCUUUGCUGUGAAGGGAGCCAGCUCUGAGGGAAGUCAAAAAGCUGUAUAAGCUGCCUGAACCGACAUAUGAUAUUCAAUGCGUCAAAUCUCUACGCCUUGGAGACAGCAUCACUUCAGAAAUGCGCAACCGCAUAGUGAAAUGGCUCCAUGCUGACAUUUUGCGCUAUGACCUGUAAGUUCAAAAUCAGGUGGACUAUUACCAAUGUAGCCCAUAUGUUUGCAUGUUGUAACCUGUUGCAACAGCCUAUUUGUGAAUUUGCUGCAAUGCAGAUACCCAGGUAGAAAGAACUUGUACUACGAAGCUGCGAGUCAGUUGGUCUACAUGUACCCAGCUCUGAGGGAUGCAUCAGGAACAGGAUUUGCAUGUUCUGCAACUGUCAUAUUGUAAUCUGUUUGCACUGCAGGUCCACAUAAAAUCAUACUAAGUAAUAAGGUACUGCAUGAGACAUACUUGUCUGAAAUCGUCAGUUGAUGGUUCUGUAGCCUAUGAAGGUUUUGUGGCUGUUCAAAGUGCUGUACUGAUAUUUUGGUGUAUGCUGGACCGUAAGCUGCACCAUUUUACUAUUCAGGGCAAGCAAUAUUUCUGCAUCUGAUGAUUUCACAGAUCAAAAACCAUGAGGGUUUAAUUUCAGACAAGUGUGUCACAUGCCGUACAAUUGCGAAGUAAUGUUAAAAAUAAAUCGGAGAAAUAUAUCUUCCUUGCUGUCCCUCAUUAUUUCCCAAUGUAAAAAUGAAGUUGUAUGCGGUAAUAAAAGCAAGUUAACUGAAACAAAAAGUGAUAUCAAUGCUAUUGAAUAAAAAUAAAUGCAGGACUCAUGGCAGCGAGCGUUGAAGUUCCGAACUAAAAACCAAAGAAAGAAGUUGUCUCAUAUACCUGAAGUGGAGGAGCAGCGGCAGAGGUUCAACCUGCUUAAAAGGAAGAUGCCUCCCCACAGUAACGAACCGAAACGAGUAUGCUUUCGCGCCAUGAAUGGUCCAGCUUUGACAGCAAGCCCUCCAAAUGAAACUUUUCAUGAAAGGUUGGCAUGGCUACGAAAUGAAAAGCCAACUGUACUGGAGGUUUUGAGGAGAUACCCUUCACUCGCAACUACCAGUGGGAUCCAUGAGGAGUUUUCACAGCACAGUGGGAAAAAUGCUGAGAAAGAACUGCUUUGGCUGCUCAACACCAAGGCAGAGAGCAUAAUACAGCUUGCCAGGAAGAAGAAAAGUGGGGCCACUGUGGUUUCGCUUGUACAUGAGAAACUUAAGGAGCUUUCCUGCCAGAGUGAGCAAAAAUGUAGGUACCCCGUAUGAAGAGUUCUAUUUUGCUCACAUCAUUUGUUCACUUGCCUACAGGUCUGCCUCAGGUAUAACUGCCACUUACACAAUGUCUCAUUUCUUCAGUCCAACAGUGAAAACGUUUGAUGUGUGUUUUCUGUGAUGAUCUGUCUCCAGUAACAUGUGCUGCGCUCCUAUUUCAUCCGCUUGUUACCAAUUCCAGAUUGCUACUCAG